rnacentral:rRNA from 1 species
AACGUAGGUGGCGAGCGUUAUCCGGAUUUACUGGGCGUAAAGGGUGUGCAGGCGGGCUGUUAAGUGGUGCAUGAAAUCUCCGCGCUUAACGUGGAGAGGCUGUGCCAGACUGGCAGUCUAGAGUACGAGAGAGGGUUGUGGAAUUCCGGGUGUAGUGGUGAAAUGCGUAGAGAUCCGGAGGAACACCAGAGGCGAAGGCGGCAACCUGGCUCGUUACUGACGCUCAUACACGACAGCAUGGGGAGCGAACAGG